AAUAGAUUGUAAUUUUACCUUCCUCCAAGCUCAACUGUCCAACUUAAGUACAUUCGUUCAUUUCAUUUCCACGACAUAUGUACUGCACACAACUGCUGUAAAAUACAUAUGUACUACAUGCAUACACACUUCUUGUAUGAACCCAGAAUCUUAUUUGAAGAUAACGAAGAUUGAGAUGUCAAAAUUACACGACGUCUCAUCUCAUGUCACCAAAUCUGCAUUGUAAUCAUAAUUCACAACCCCCGAAGUCAAUAGUGAACCACAAACGCCGCAACAAUCAGUCAGACUAGCAGAGUCAGAUAGUCGUGUAAUCUAAAUUUGUGAGUUUUCUCAUUUUCCGGCUCCUGGGGGAUAUUUUACCCAGUAAUUCACCACCGACAGAACAACCUUCGAGUUUUCACUGCGCCACCAAGAGCGAUCCGGAUCUCAUGCCAAGAAAGUCCAAUUCUUCAUGCCCUGGAGCAGCCUCAGCCGUGUCAACUAAACUACUCAGAGAUCAACAAUUCAGCACCAGCAGACUAGAACACGACGAUAGCUCAUUCGUAUUUAAAGUUUUGUAACUGUUUGCGACGAGGUAAACAUCUUGUGUGCCACAGUAAUAACUAGUCGGAAAUAAAACCUUUGGGCAUACUUAUAUCCGGUAUUAACCUACAAAGAUCCAUUUCCUAAAUGUGAGAACCUGAGGAAAUUUCGUCAUUGCAUUAUCAUUUCUGAUGGAAGCUCAUGCCCGAUAUAGUCAAGUCAACGCUGUGUUACGGGAGGAACCCUGCUGCUAUAUUUAUUGUAAUAGACGGUCCAUGAGCAUCAAGGAAAUUGAAAUUACUACUUGAUCCAUCACCACAAUUCUCUCUCUCUCUCCAGCAGAUUUAUGUCAUUGAAGUAAAAAAAACUGUUGAAAAACGGAGAUGAAAAAGGGUUCUAUCCUUUUCGAGUAGUAAAUACGAUACUCCUUUGAAUGUGUGUCUCUUGGUAUUAAUAUAAACUAUAAUGUGUCACAUAAAACCUGACAGUUUCCCAAUAUCGUCUAAA